GACGAACGCUGGCGGCGUGCUUAACACAUGCAAGUCGAACGGAAAGGCCCUGAUUUUGUGGGGUGCUCGAGUGGCGAACGGGUGAGUAACACGUGAGUAACCUGCCCUUGACUUUGGGAUAACUUCAGGAAACUGGGGCUAAUACCGGAUAGGAGCUCCUGCUGCAUGGUGGGGGUUGGAAAGUUUCGGCGGUUGGGGAUGGACUCGCGGCUUAUCAGCUUGUUGGUGGGGUAGUGGCUUACCAAGGCUUUGACGGGUAGGCGGCCUGAGAGGGUGACCGGCCACAUUUCAACUGAGAUACGUCCCAGACUCCUACCGGACUCAGCAGUGAGGAAAAGUGCACAAUGGUCGGAAGCCUGAUGCAGCAACUCCCCGUGCGGGAUGACGGCCUUCGGGUUGUAAACCGCUUUCGCCUGUGACGAAGCGUAAGUAACGGUAAUAGGUAAAGAAGCACCGGCUAACUACGUG
rnacentral:rRNA from 1 species